CACCGCCAGUCGCUACUACCGAUUGGAUGGUUUAGUGAGGCCCUCGGAUCGGCCCCGCCGGGGUCGGCCCACGGCCCCGGCGGAGCGCUGAGAAGACGGUCGAACUUGACUAUCUAGAGGAAGUAAAAGUCGUAACAAGGUUUCCGUAGGUGAUCCUGCAGAAG
rnacentral:ncRNA from 1 species